rnacentral:tRNA from 1 species
AUUUGGAUAGCUUAAAGUUUUUAAAGCUUAACUCUGAAGAAGUUAUGAUAGAUAUAAUUCUUCCAAAUA